CAGGCCUUGCGGAGGCCAGAGAAUCCUGGAGCCGCCUGCGUGCCCUACAGAUAGUGCCAGUUAUCGUGUGCCACGACGUGGAAAAGGUUGGAAAGCACGACUUUCGUGCCAUUUUUGAGGCGCAGAUUAAAACCAGCUACGGAUGAGUAAAGAACAAUUCACAUUGAUUUUUAUUGCCGGGAGAUUAUCAAAAGCUUCAGGAGGAAGUUGGACUGUGUUUAUGAAAGUCAGGAAGAUUCUGGAACAUCAGGUGGAGUUCUUAGGAAGAUACCAGUAGAAGGCAGACUAACCCCACCUCCAUCUGGACUGACAGGAGGAAGAAGAGACGGCAGCUGAGAAGGGAGAAGAUAGGAGGAGGGUGGUAUUCUCUGUGGCUGGUAACAAGAAAAGAAAGAAUAUGGCUCAUGAAAAUUUCAGAAGCGCUUCAUUUCAGUAACAGACUUCAGAAAGGAUUGAUGUCUUGCCUUCUUGUUCCCCCUGUCCUCCAAAGCUUCGAGGUCACCUUUCAACUUCUGAGUCUCUUUCAGGGCUGCAGCACGAACCUUCACAACUCGUGAGAGCUCCCCUUCAUUCUUUUCAAGAAUGGAUUUCACCUUAGUAGAAAAAAAGAAAUGAUAAAUGAUUCUCCCAAAGCACAAUCAAUCAGCAAUUAGAAUAAGACAGCAAUUUAGAAGCCAAAUUUAAAAUGUUUAAUUAAAUAUGCUUAUAUAUUAUUGUAAAUAAAAACUAGCUAUAGUAGCUGUUAUUCCCCUUAAAACUACAAAGCAAAAAAAAAAUCUGUUAAUAAACAUGGGCAAAUCUCUAAUAUAUGUCAAUCUCUAUGAAAGCACAGAAUGAAGGUAAGGGAGAUAAGACAAUGAUGCUAAGAUGAAAAACGGGGGAGAAACUGAUUAUCACAGAAUUUGAAAAUACAAUAUAAAUUAAUAUCAUAAAAGCAAAGGUGAAGAAGCACUAAAUAGUGUCAAGAAAAUAGUGUUACAGAAGUGUUCUAAAUAGUGUCCUAAUCCUAAUUAGAAGUAUUAGAAUUUUACAUCUCUGAAAUACUUUUAGUAUAUCUACAGUUAUUUCAGAUGAUCAUACUAUUCUAAAUACUACUGUUUUAAAAAAUACUUUAUCUCGAAAUACAGACUCACAGGAGGUUACAAAAUUAGUGCAGAGUCCCCAUGCACUCUUUUCCCUGCUUCUAAUGAUGACAUCUUAUAUUGUAGUUCAACAUUAAAACCAGGAAACUGACUUUAAUGAGAUUAACUAGACUACAAAACUUACAAUUUUCACCAUUUUUUUUAAUCUGCAUUCAUCUGUGUAUGCACACAUGCACACAGCUCUAUGUAAUCUGAUCCCAUGCACAUAUUCCUGUGAUCACGACAAUCAAGAUACAGAACUGCUCCACUGCCGCAAAGAACUCACUUGUGCUACUUUCUCUGUGUUCAAACCCUCCCCCAAACUCAUCCCAUGUCCCCUGGCAACCACUAAUUUGUUCUCUAUCGCUACUGUUUUUGUCAUUUCAAGAAUGUUAUUUUAAACAUUUAAAAAUAAUUAAUUUCAGUAUAAUACAUUCACAUUUUUUAAAACAGCCUUACUGAGAUAUAGUUGACAUACAAUAAGCUAUGUAUAUUUAAAGUGUACAAUUUUGAUAUAUGUAUAAACCAUAAUCAUGAUAAUGAACACUUCCAUUAUCCCAAAAGUUCCCUUAUGCCUUUUUGUAAUUUCCCCCACUUCUGUCUCUCCCUGUUCCUACACAUCCACCCAAGGCUACCACUGACCUGUUUUCUGUCACAAUCAAUUCACUUUUAUUUCCUAGAAUUUUAUAUAAUAAAAUCAUAUUUUAUGUACUCAUUUUUGAAUGAUUUUUCACUCAGCACAGUUAUUUUGAGAUUCACUCAAUCUUCUCUAUGUUGCUGAAUAGUGUUCUGCUGAACACUUGAGUUGUUCCAGUUUUAAGCUAUUACAAGUAGAGCUGCUCUGGGCAGUUGUAUACAGAUCUUUGUGUAGACAGACGCUUUCAUUUAUCUUUGGUAAAUGCAUAGGAGUGGAACGGCUGGGUUGUAUGGUAGUAAUAUGUAUCACUUUUAAAGAAACUACCAAACUAUUUUCCAGAGUGGCUGAGUGAUUUUACAUUCCCUUCAGCAAUGUAUGAGAGUUCCUCCACAUCUUCACUAACACUUGGGGUAAUCAGUUUUUCAAUUUUAGACAUUCUAAUAGUGUGUGGUAGUAUCUCACUGCAGUUUCAAUUUGCAUUUCCCUAAUAACUGAUGUUUAACAUCUUUUCAAGUGCUUAUUUAUCAUCCAUAUAUCUUUUUUGGUGAAACGUGUGUUCAAAUACUUUGCGCCUUUUUCUUUUUUUUUCGGAUUGUCUUUCCUUCUUAGUGAGUUUUGAGAGUUUUUAAUAAACUGUGGAGACAAGACCUUUAUCAGAUAUGUGAUUUGCAAAUGUUUUUCCCCCAGCCUGUAGCUUUUCUCUUCAUUUUCUUAACAAUGUCUUUGAAGAGCAUACGUUGUCAAUGUUACACUUUUUCCUUUAUGGAUCAUGCUUUUGAUGUCAAAUCUAAGAAAUCUUUGUGUAAUCCAAGAUCACAGUGGUUUCAUCCUAUGUUUCAGAAGUUUUACAGUUUUAGGUUUUACCUUUAGGGCUUUCAUCCAUUUUGAGUUAAUUUUUGUAUAUGGUAAGAGGUAUGGAUCAAAGGUAUUUUGUUUUUUUGUUUUUGCAUAUGAUACCCAAUUGCCUUAGCACAUUUGAUGAAAAGACCAUCCUUUCUCUACUUUUGCUUCUGUUGAAAAUAAAGUGUUCAUAAAAUUAUUCUGGAUGGGUAGCACAUUCACAUUACUCUUAAGGUGCAAAAAGAUAAAGUGAAAAAUCUCCCAGCCACCCAGUUUCCUUCCUCGAAAAUAAUGUUGCCAAUUUAUUACGAUUCAUUUUAGAGAGACUCUAUUCAAAAGUGAAUACAUAUGUAUACUUCAUCGCCCCAAUCCUUCUGCACACAAAUAUUAAAAUACUCUGUAUACUCUUCUGAGCCUUGACUGUUUUAACCUAAUAAUAGAUAUGUUAUGAUUAAGAUAAAUAUAUCUUCAAACAGUAUUCCAAACUAUGGGUAUACCAUGGUUUAUUUAGCCAGCCUCUUACUGAUGGAAUUUUGGUUGUUUCUAGUCUUUUGCUAAUAACAAACAAUACUUCAGAAAGUACCUUGUAAACAUGUCUUAUGUAUAAGCUAGUGUAUCUGUAGGAAAAAAUACAACUGUGGGCGUAAAGUGAUAAACAAAGCCAAAUUGCCCUCCACAGGAAAAGGGCACUGCAAACAGCAGCAAAGAAGAACGCCUUUCACCCACAUCUUCCUCAAUAUUAUACUUCCUUAUAACUUUUAACCUGUAACAUUAAAAAUAAUUUCUUCUAUAAGGAUUCAAGAAUAGUACAAAAUAUGCUAACUUAUAAGGUUUUGAAAACCUAUUGGAUUUUGUUCUAGAAAAGUACAUUAGGAAGAAUAUAGUUUUUAUAAUUUUACCAGUGUGUAUAAAAUAUUUAUAAAUAUGAAAAGGCCACUAGCAAAAGUGCUUACAAAAAGGGUCUAAAUAGUAGUUAACUCUAGAAGACAAUCUAUAGUACUUUCUAUUUUUAAAUAUCAAACGAAGAUGGAUGCUCUAGUAAGUUUUCUUUGGAAAGUAUUUUCCAAUGUUCAAGUUCUCAGGGCUUCUAUUUAUGUAUUUCUACUUUAAAAUCAGGCUUUACCCAUUUUACUAUAAAUGUUAAGACUAUUAGCAUUAAUUUUUAAAGUGAAAAUUAGAGUAAAAAUCUCAAUGGUUACUCUUAAGCCAAAUAUGACAGUUCUGUGUCCAAGACAAAAAUUAAGUAUGCAAUAGCCAGAAGGACGGUUUUGAUCUACAUCAUCAGUUUUUCCUGUUUGUGAAGAAGUUCUUUCCUUGUUGUUACUCACACCUCCAAAUGUUAUCUUUCUAUAUGUUACUACUUUUCUUCAUUGUUGUAUAAAUCUGAAAUUUCCUUAUGAUUUAAUUCGUGGCCUUCACUUACCGAAUCCCGGUAAAGAAAAUUUGGUGACUCAUCAUUUAAUGGUCUUGAGGCAAGAAUGUCUAUUUUACCUUCCAGUCUUCCCUCCAUGGUUUUAAUGGCAUUCAAAAGAGUCUUUAGAGAGAUCCUAGAGUCUCCGAUCUCCUGAGAAGACCUCACAGAAGUCAGGGUAGGUGCAAAGGUCACGUGGCGUGUAGGGUUUGGUCUAACACUGGGCAAACCAGCUGAUGAAGUUCGUUCCUUUACAUUGUUGACAUAGGGCCUAUAGCUUUCAAGGAAUUUUGAAGAUGCAGGCCUCUCUGGAGACUUCCUUCUUCUUGGAGGCAUCACCAAUUUAAAAAGACAAAAUCAACUAAACCUAGAAUUAUUUUUCAGUGAGUGCCCCCUUUACUAUGAGAAACAACACAACGUUCUAAAUGAAGCUGGGAUGGAAAAUAUACUUAAAAAUGUGUUCGUUUGCUUUCAGAAUGAAGAAAAUACUAGUGUAAAGUAUGUCCUAGUGAAGAAACAAAGCGUAUCUAAUGAGGUCCCCUUUACCAGUAGAGUCAGAUUGUUAGAACCCUAGCAGCCUUCCAUUUGAAGACACAUUCUAGUUGCUUGGUUACCAAGGAUAUACAUACACAAACAUUAUAGUUAAAGAAGUUACACAUGCUUACAGUGUUAAAAAUUAAAAAUAAAUAAUGUGAUAAAUUUGUAAAUCAUUGAAAUGAAUCACUUUCUUUUAGUAACAUAUUCCUGGAUUAUUUUCUUCACUAAAUGUUUUACAUAUCUUCUUUGUCUAAUUUUCUCUGUUCAUAUGUUAAAUUGUUAUGUGACCUAUGAACGGUUUUCAGUCUCAAUAGCCACCAUGCUAACAAGUAAGCACCUUCACUACU